UGAAGAGGCGUCUGUAGAGGUGUUAAGUUGUAACCUUAAUUAUGGUGAAAAACCCCUCUUUAG
rnacentral:tRNA from 1 species